CUCUCUCUUUCUCUCUUUCUUUCUCUCUCCAUCAUUUAAUCUUUCCUUUUCCGCGCUUUCGUUAUCUUUCUCUUACGCACUUGAUCGUUCGUACAUUCGUUCCUUCUCGUCGUAUCUUCUCGUCGAAUAUGUAAAACGUGAAUUUUGUCUUCUAUCUUCUCCGAGUUGCCGUGCAAGAACCGCGUCCGACGUUCCGCGUGCAAUUCUAACUCCAUUGGACACACGAUACGGAGGAGGGAAGCACCGAAGAGUAUUUUCGACGAGAUUUGUUUUUUCGGUUAAAUCUUUGAUUUUGUAUAUUUUCUCAUUUAUUUAACGACAUAUUGUUUAGUUUUCGUGAAUUCAGUUUAAUCUUGAUAAUAUCGCACCAAUGCGAUCCCGUAUUGGUCCCGCGUGUUCCAUCGCGGCCGGAUAUUCCGAGAACGCGUCGUGCUCGAUCAUUCAAUGAUUUCGUGAAUGUCGUCGAUGACUUCGACGCGUCGUCGUAUUCUCGACAACGAUGUUUCUUCCUCUCGAAAUAGAGAUUUAUUAUUGCGAGAGUGAACAAUUAUAAGACAAAUAGACAAGGUUGUCCUAUUGGUGAUCACGCUGGUGUCGUCGUGGUAGAGUGGAGAGAGAUCAGCUUGAAGAAGACUUUCAAUAAGAAGGAGAAAAAAAAUAACGAAGUUACCAAUCUAGUCCAAGAACAGGAACAUAGAAGGAUGUUGGCCCGAUUUUUAAUAUUAGCCGGUGUUGCUGCAGUUGUGACGUCUGCCGGUGGGCAUGGUUUCGAUGCACAUUUACGUGGUCCGAGUUUCCUCAUAGAACCACCAUUGAGGGUGGAAUUUUCAAAUUCGAGCGGUGCCUGGCUGGAUUGCACGGCAUCCGGAAGCCCUCCACCUAAUAUCGACUGGUCGACUGCAGAUGGACAUCCAGUAAAUGACGUACCAACCGUGCGAAGGGUACUCAGGAACGGUACACUCGUCCUUUUACCUUUUCCGGCAGCAGCUUAUCGUCAAGACGUACACAGUGCAGCAUAUAGAUGCGUCGCAAGUAACUCUGUUGGGAGGGUACUUAGUCGUGACGUCCAAGUUAGAGCAGUCGUCGCUCAGGCCUAUAAAGUGGACGUGGAGGUAAUCGGAGGUGCAUCGAAAGGAUGUACGGCGAUACUAAGAUGCGUCGUUCCUAGUUUCGUCAAAGAUUUGGUGCGUGUUGUGUCCUGGAUUCAGGAACCAUCUUCUUACAUUUAUCCUUCGUUACAAGGAGAUGGAAAAUUUCAUCUAUUACCAACCGGCGAACUUCUCGUUCACAGUCUCGAAUUUAGCGAUCAAUUACACGGAUAUAAAUGUCGAACGAUGCAUCGAUUGACCAGACUAGUGGUCGUUAGUUCGGCUGCUAAUAUUAGAAUAGCUGAUCACAGGGGAAUAAUGCCUCCGGUUAUGCUCGAAAAUUCCGGUGUUGUUCACGUCGCUCAAGACGAAUCAACGUCAUUGGUCUGCGUCGCACAAGCUUGCCCUCCUCCCGAAUAUCGGUGGUACGCACAGACAGGUGCGGAACCUAUGCUAGUCUUGUCUGGACCGAGAACUCGUUUACUCGGUUCUAUGCUGGCCAUAGAAGCCGUUACGCUGGAAGAUAGUGGUAUUUAUAGGUGCUCUGCAUCAAAUCCCGGCGGUGAAGCUAGCGCCGAAAUCAGACUCAUAGUGACGGCACCACUUCACGUUGAAGUAACGCCACCCCUACUGAGCGUUCAUUUGGGUGGUAACGCCGAAUUCAAGUGUGAGGUUGGUAUACAUCCUCAAGCUGGACCACACUUUAUCACCUGGUACAAGGACGGCAGGCAGCUUCCGGGCACUGGAAGACAAUCAGAAUUAUUGAGGCUAAAUGGUAUAGGUAGAGAUGACAGGGGAAUGUAUCAGUGCAUUGUCAGAAGGUCAGAAGGUGAUACAGCCCAGGCCUCCGCGGAAUUGCAAUUGGGAGACGCACCACCGGUUCUUCUCUAUUCGUUCAUUGAGCAGACUCUUCAACCAGGGCCAGCCGUGUCAUUAAAAUGUUCCGCUGCUGGAAAUCCAACGCCGCAGGUCACGUGGGCUUUAGAUGGUUUCCCCUUACCGACUAAUGGAAGGUUCGUCAUAGGACAAUAUGUGACGGUACACGGUGAUGUAAUAUCGCACGUUAAUGUUAGUCACGUAAUGGUCGAAGACGGUGGAGAGUAUUCCUGUACAGCCGAAAAUCGUGCCGGAAAAGUUACGCAUGCUGCACGUCUUAACGUUUACGGUCUACCUUACAUUCGACUAAUUCCAAAAGUAACCGCAGUUGAUGGUGAGCAGCUUCGUUUGAAGUGUCCGGUAGCAGGGUAUCCGAUAGAAGAAAUCAAAUGGGAACGGGCAAAUCGCGAAUUACCAGAUCAUCUUCGACAGAAGGUACAUCCAGACGGUACCUUGGUGAUAACCAAUGUACAAAAGAAGACCGACGCCGGAGUAUACACCUGCUGGGCACGUAACAAGCAAGGACACAGCGCGAGAAGAUCCGGAGACGUCGCAGUAAUCGUACCCCCUAUUAUUGAGCCAUUUACGUUCCAAGAGGGCCUUUCCGAGGGGAUGCGGACGCGGACGGUGUGCGGGGUCGCGGCGGGUGAUCCACCCCUAACCAUAUCCUGGCUGAAAGACGGCCAAAGUCCCUUUUCCUUGCUGCCGAAUCUGGCCUCCGUUGCAAACAUCUCCCAACUGGAUUCCUACUCUAGCCUCCUCAGUAUAACGAACCUCGCGGCCGAGCACUCCGGCGACUAUACCUGUGUCGCCGCGAACCCCGCCGCCGAGGUCAGGUACACGGCCAAGCUACAGGUAAAAGUUCCUCCACGAUGGAUCGUUGAACCAACAGACAGCAUAAGUGUCGAAAGGAACAAGCACGUUGCUUUGCAUUGUCAAGCACAAGGUGUACCGACUCCUGUUAUCGUUUGGAAAAAAGCUACGGGAAGCAAAUCUGGCGAAUACGAGGAGUUUCGAGAACGAGCGUAUACUAAAAUUCUAAGCAACGGAACCCUCCUCUUACAACACGUGAAAGAGGACAGAGAAGGGUUUUAUCUUUGUCAAGCGAGUAAUGGUAUAGGAUCUGGCAUAGGCAAAGUGGUACAAUUAAAAGUUAAUUCAUCGCCAUACUUCGCUGCACCUUCGCGAUUGGUCACGAUUAAGAAAGGAGACACUGCUACGUUACAUUGCGAGGUACACGGUGACAAGCCAGUAACCGUAAAAUGGUUAAAAGGCGGAAAAAGUGAAUUGAAUCCUUCGACGAAUUAUCGGGUCACCGUAAAUCAGGAAGCAACGCCCGACGGUGUUAUCGCCCAAAUGCAAAUUUCCUCGGCGGAAGCAUCCGACAGUGGAGCAUAUUUCUGUCAAGCUAGCAAUCUUUAUGGCCGCGAUCAACAACUCGUACAACUCCUCGUACAAGAACCACCACAGCCACCGAACACUUUAGAAACAGCUAUGAUCGCUAGUCGAAGUAUUAACGUAAAGUGGCAACACAAAUCUCAAGAUACCAGCGAAGUUACCAAAUAUAUACUUCAGUAUAAGGAAGGCGAAGGUGGUAUGUGGCAACAACAAGAAUUUGUUGGACCGCCUUUACCCUAUGCCGCGUUAAUCGAUGAUCUUAAACCUGCUACAAGAUACACGAUACGAGUAAUAGCUGAAGGACCAGCAGGUCGUUCGGCUCCUUCAGCAGAACUCUUGGUAAGAACCGAACCUCAAAGACCAGCAGGACCCCCUGUUAAUCUUGCUGCAAGAGCACUUUCUUCAUCGGAAAUUUUGAUUACUUGGUCACCACCGUUGCCCGAACUUCGUCACGGAGACAUACAAGGCUUUAACGUCGGCUAUAGAGAGACUAGCUCAGGAAAUCCAUCGUACAACUUCACUUCUGUGUCCGGAGAUGGUGAAGAAGGGGGAGGUGAACUUCGUUUGACGGGUCUUCGACCUUACACGAGAUAUUCCUUAGUCGUUCAGGCGUACAAUCAAGUCGGAUCUGGACCUUUAUCCGAGCCAUUAUUAACGCAGACAUUAGAGGAUGUUCCCAGUAAACCACCGGAAGAUGUAAGAUGUGCAGCGCUUACUUCGCAAUCUCUGCAAGUAUCUUGGCAGCCACCCUCUAAUACACAUAGUAACGGCAUUAUUCAAGGUUAUAAAUUGAAUUACGAGCCGAUUUUAUCAGACACGUGGCGUGGGGUUAACGAGAUGGAAGUACGUAAAACUAGCGCUUUAACGAUAGUUCUAACAGAUCUUAGAAAAUACACGAAUUACACGAUACAAGUACUGGCCUAUACGAGAGUAGGGGAUGGAAUUCCUACGACUGUUACUUACUGUCAAACAGAAGAAGAUGUACCUGGAAGUCCAGCGGAUAUUAAAGUGGUCGUGAGCUCGCCCCAGGCUCUCUUUAUUUCCUGGCUACCACCAUUGGAGCCUAAUGGAAUUAUCACGAAAUACAAUCUCUAUACUAGAGUUGUCGACGGUCAGGGUGAAUUAAAUCACGGCAAGAGAAAUUUACCAGCUACGAACACUCAUUUCGAAGCUACGGGUUUGCAACAACACGUAGAAUAUCAAUUUUGGGUAACAGGUAUUACUCGAGUUGGCGAAGGCCAAAGUUCGAAAGUAGCCGCUCAAGUACCAACUAAUAGAGUACCAGCAAGGAUCACGUCCUUUGGUGGUCACGUCGUAAAACCAUGGAGAGGCUCGGCUACCUUAUCUUGCAAUGCGGUUGGUAAUCCUACUAGAGAAUGGUUCAAAGGACCCCUCGAACAAGUUAGAAUUGAUACUGCCAGAAAUGCACAAAUUUUACCAACCGGCGAACUCGUCCUAUCAAAUUUACAAUCACAAGAUUCUGGAAAUUAUACCUGCCAAGUAAAAAACACUGAAGGAAGCGAUAAAUUACAUUACACUCUCACCGUACAAGUUCCACCUAGCGCACCUGUAUUGUACGUAACAAGUUCAACGUCAAGUAGUAUACUACUACAUUGGAAAUCUGGUUAUUACGGAGGAGCUCCUUUAACCGGUUACACGUUACACUAUCGUACAACUCAUGGCAAUUUAGAUGAAUUGCAUCUCACUAGACAUGCUACUAAUCACGAACUAAAGGGCCUUCUAUGCGGGAAUACUUAUCAAUUGUAUCUAACAUCGCAUAAUAAAAUUGGUAGUAGUCCUUCGUCACCGGUACUUUCCGUACGAACUCAAGGACAAGCACCAGGAAUACCACCAUCCGCAGCUUUUCUUAGUCCUAACUCGACAACGUUGGUUCUAAGAUUACACGUUUGGCCUGACAAUGGGUGUCCUAUUCUUUACUUCGUUAUUCAAUAUAGACCUGCGACCGAAUUUCAUUGGACUUUAGUCUCUAACAGCGUUAAAAUGCAACGAAGGUUCACCGUGACAAAUCUAACACCAAGCACGGUAUAUCAAUUGAAGGUCGAAGCUCACAACGUUGCUGGAAGCAAUCAGGCGGAAUUCAGUUUCGUGACUUUGACAAAGGAAGGUGAACCACCACCUCCAGAAUUAUCGAAACGUGGAAUAGCAUCUGUUAUUCCCUUCUACGCGGAUGUGAAAGUUAUAUUGCCUCUGAUAACCGCUACAAUUACUCUAGUCACGGCGGCCGUAAUAGUCGCAUUCCGUUGGCGAAACAGAUAUUUAGGAGACCGAGUUCAAAGACCGAUGAAGGAAUCUCAAGAAAAUCAACAAAACGCUGAAACACAACGAGAACGUUAUUACGCUACUAUUCACAAGGUCGCCCUGCAACAGGCAGCGAGUACGGGUGCAGGUCCCGACAAGAUUCCAGACAGCGGAGGACAUCUCGCCGUACGCUACGUUCCAGCUUUCGGAGGGUGGAGGGGGAAGCCUGGCAGGGCUGGGAGGAUUGGGAGGACUAGGAGGCGCGGCGGAAGCAUCAGCGGCAGGUCUACAUCCGAACAACACUCUUCUUCACAGUUUCAUGUAUCACGAGCACGCUAUGACCGAGGGCUGCGCGAGUCCUCCGCCAGCGGCAACGAGUAUGAAGAGUGUCUCGUCGAGGAGACGACAACAGAGAAAACAACAGACCCCGGGCGACGUCGAGAGCGACGAGAGCGAGUCUGACCCGGACCAGCUGACGAGUUCUCGCACAGAGUCUUCCAAUCAACUCGACGCUGGCAAACUCAAACACAUUCGAGCCGUUUCAGACUUCAUUUAUCACGGUACAUCGAGCACUUCAUCGGACAUCUCACCGAUGUCGGAACAGAAGUCGUUGCCACGAAGAG
rnacentral:misc_RNA from 1 species